GUGGGGAAUAUUGGGCAAUGGGGGAAACCCUGACCCAGCGACGCCGCGUGAGGGAAGAAGGCCUUAGGGUCGUAAACCUCUGUUGUGUGGGAAGAAGAGCGUGACGGUACGACACGAGGAAGUCCCGGCUAACUACGUGCCAGCAGCCGCGGUAAUACGUAGGGGACGAGCGUUGUCCGGAUUUACUGGGCGUAAAGGGCGCGUAGGCGGUCAUUUAAGUCAGCUGUGAAAUGGUUUGGCUUAACCGGAUCAUGCGGUUGAAACUGGAUGACUGGAGUGCUGGAGAGGCAAGUGGAAUUCCCAGUGUAGCGGUGAAAUGCGUAGAUAUUAGGAAGAACACCGGUGGCGAAGGCGGCUUACUGGACUGAAACUGACGCUGAGGCACGAAAGCGUGGGGAGCGAACAGGAUUAGAUACCCGGGUAGUCC
rnacentral:rRNA from 1 species